CUGGACGCCCCUCCUCCGGGCGGCUCGGACGCACCCACGGAUCCAGCGCGUGCGCGGAGCGGUGCCUGUUUCACGUCGCUCAGACGGUCCUGAGCCCUGGAAUUGUUCCUCUGCCUUCCUCUCCGCCUCCUUCCCGUUAUCCCCACACUUUGCGUUGUGCUGACGCUGGCACCGUUGAAGCGAGGCGUCCAGGACCCCUUGAAAAAUGUUACCUCUAAGUGCUAACUAGGCCAGGCGCGAAGUCUCUGACCCCGCCCUAAAUGUCCCUUCUUUCUUCCGGUCUCCUUCUCCCCACCACGCCUGUGUCCGCCAGGAUGCCCGAAAUACGGGAACAGACUCCCUCCCACACGGCUGUUCACUGCCGCACAAUGUGCAAUAGGACAGACCAGACUGGACACAGAGCGAGCAGGUUGUGAUGGAAGCACUGCAUUGGGAAGGACCUAGCUGCAUCCUGUGGCCGCGCAGACAGAGGAGGGACAGCAACACCGGGCCACCCCAUUCUCCUCCCGCACCUCCUUUCCCCAGGCCCCCAGCGGACACUGGAUGUAGCCUUGGCCCAUCUGGAUCUCAUCCUUCCUGAGGAUCUGAAAAACCUCACCUUGGGCAUUAGUUCUCCAAGAGACUCAGCCAGGUCCGCCCCUCGCCUCCAUUUUGCAGAUGAGGAGUAUAGGAUGUCCUCCAGGAUCUAUUAACUUAAAAAGGGGGGGGGGGAGGAAAA